UGGGGAAUUUUUCGCAAUGGGGGAAACCCUGACGAAGCAAUGCCGCGUGGAUGAUGAAGUAUCUCGGUACGUAAAAUCCUUUCGACAGGGACGAAACCGCAAGGUUGACGGUACCUGUAGAAGAAGCCCCGGCUAACUCCGUGCCAGCAGCCGCGGUAAUACGGGGGGGGCAAGCGUUGUUCGGAAUUACUGGGCGUAAAGGGUGCGUAGGCGGCUUUCUAAGUUGGAUGUGAAAACUCUGGGCUCAACCCAGAGCCUGCAUCCAAAACUGGGAGGCUAGGGUCCUGGAGGGGAGAGCGGAAUUCCUGGUGUAGCGGUGAAAUGCGUAGAUAUCAGGAGGAACACCGGUGGCGAAGGCGGCUCUCUGGACAGGUACCGACGCUGAGGCACGAAAGCUAGGGGAGCAAACAGG
rnacentral:rRNA from 1 species